ACGCUGGCGGCAGGCCUAACACAUGCAAGUCGAGCGGUAGCACAGGAGAGCUUGCUCUCUGGGUGACGAGCGGCGGACGGGUGAGUAAUGUCUGGGAAACUGCCUGAUGGAGGGGGAUAACUACUGGAAACGGUAGCUAAUACCGCAUGACCUCGCAAGAGCAAAGUGGGGGACCUUCGGGCCUCACGCCAUCGGAUGUGCCCAGAUGGGAUUAGCUAGUAGGUGGGGUAAUGGCUCACCAAGGCGACGAUCCCUAGCUGGUCUGAGAGGAUGACCAGCCACACUGGAACUGAGACACGGUCCAGACUCCUACGGGAGGCAGCAGUGGGGAAUAUUGCACAAUGGGCGCAAGCCUGAUGCAGCCAUGCCGCGUGUGUGAAGAAGGCCUUAGGGUUGUAAAGCACUUUCAGCGAGGAGGAAGGCGCUGUAGUUAAUAGCUGCAGCGAUUGACGUUACUCGCAGAAGAAGCACCGGCUAACUCCGUGCCAGCAGCCGCGGUAAUACGGAGGGUGCAAGCGUUAAUCGGAAUUACUGGGCGUAAAGCGCACGCAGGCGGUUUGUUAAGUCAGAUGUGAAAUCCCCGAGCUUAACUUGGGAACUGCAUUUGAAACUGGCAAGCUAGAGUCUUGUAGAGGGGGGUAGAAUUCCAGGUGUAGCGGUGAAAUGCGUAGAGAUCUGGAGGAAUACCGGUGGUGAAGGCGGCCCCCUGGACAAAGACUGACGCUCAGGUGCGAAAGCGUGGGGAGCAAAC
rnacentral:rRNA from 1 species